UACAGAGGUCUCAAGCGUUGUUCGGAUUCAUUGGGCGUAAAGGGUGCGUAGGCGGCGCGGUAAGUCGGGUGUGAAAUCUCGGAGCUUAACUCCGAAACUGCAUUCGAUACUGCCGUGCUUGAGGACUGGAGAGGAGACUGGAAUUUACGGUGUAGCGGUGAAAUGCGUAGAUAUCGUGAAGGAAGACCAGUGGCGAAGGCGGGUCUCUGGACAGGUUCCCUGACGCUGAGGCACGAAGGCCAGGGGAGCAAACGGG
rnacentral:rRNA from 1 species